GUUGAGUCAAGGGAUGAUGAUGUUCUUGUCCAUAGAAAUGAUGAAGAGGAUGGCCAAGAAGCUGUUGAAUUUGAUGCUGAGGUGUCUACAGAUGGUGACGUUCUUGUUAAUGGGAACAAUGGUGAUGAAGAGUAUGUGCUUACUCCCCGACAUUAGGGACCUUAUGUGUUCGAUAUCAGUGUUAGAGGCCGAUGUUCUUCUACAGGUUUUACUAAAUGAGUAUACACUACGAGGUGAUUUUCUACAGAAUCUUCUGAUCGGGAUAAAAUAUAUUUAUUGAUAUUGUGUAGCCAUCACAAUUUGCUUCUUUGUGUACCAUUCAAUUGCUGAAGAAAGUGUACUAUUGAAAGACUAGAGAAAUAGAGAGGUAGAUCUGAUUCCUUUAACCCUUGUAUCAUGCCAGUGGCGUAUAUCCUUCCUUCACUUUUGAUACUAUGAAGUUCGUUCACCAAAUUGUUAUCUGAAGGAUGUUUAGUGAGUGAAUCGUGUAUAAUGUCUUGUGCUUCAAUGUUUCUUGAGUGUAAAUUGAUUUAUAGUGGCUCUUUGUUUCCAUGUGCUGUGCCAUCUUCUAUCUUCUUACAUGUACGGUUAAUUACAGAUUUUGGGGGGUACUUUAUCCAUUGUAAGUUGUCAUUUG